UUUUUUAAAGAUUUUAUUUAUUUAUUCAUGAGAGACACAGAGUGAGAGGCAGAGACAAAGGCAGAGGGAGAAGCAGGCUCCAUGCAGGAGCCCAAUGCAGGACUCGAUCCCAGUUCCCCCAGGAUCACACCCUGGACUGAAGGUGGCACUAAUUUAGCUGAGCCACCCGGGCUGCCCAUCAAAUGUUAUUUUAAUAGGUACCUACAGAAAUAUAGUCCAAAUGUUAAAAUACUAAACGUUAAAUAUUUGGAAGGCCUGAUACUGGCUCCUUUGAAAUCAGGGGGAAAAAAGUCUUAGGAAACUUCAUCUAGGUUUAUAAUCUUGGUCUGGUGGUACUUAAUGAAUUUUUUGGUACUUCAGUUCCUUUAAGAUUUUUUUUUUUAAAUUGUUGGUAUGUUACACAACAGUGUUCCAAAAUCAUAUGCUUGCUUUUCCCCGUUCACAGCCAAAGGCAAAUGGGCUGGCCAAAGUUUGUUUCCCCUUCAUUGUCCAAGUAGCUUCCUGUGCUCUCAAAUUUGCCUAUCUACAUUUUCCCUCCCCUACUUAAAACUAUAUCCUUUUACUGGACUGAUUAUUUUAAGGAUAAUAAGCUCUUAGUUCACUUUAAGAAUAAAGGGCUUUGUGUCCAUUUUGGGUUUCAGGAAGCAGGGAAAUUUUUCUGGCAGCUUGAUAACAGCAAAACCUCAGAUAAACUGAAGCUGGAAUUUGCAAAGAUUGUUCGCAGAUAUGUAUGAAGUACAGAUUACUUACAGCUUCUUAAAGGACCCUAGUUCAGGCCUGAGCCUUCUUCACAAACUCCUCCGAAUUUAUCUAUUCUAAGCUUUUCCAUAAUUUCUUUGAAUGCAGUACAUUGAUUUCAUCUUUAGUCAUACUUGGGUUUUUUGUUUUUUGGUGUUUUUUCUGAUAGUAUUGUUAAAAUAGCCCAGAUUACCAAGAGAAAUUGAAGUUAUUUUCUGGAAGCUGUUAAGAACUUUCCGGUUGGGAUGCCUGGGUGGUGCAGUCCACUAAGUGUCAUACUCAGGUUGUAAUCUCAGGGUCAUGAGAUUGAGUUGUGGGUCAAGCCCAUGUGGGGCUCUGCGCACAGCACCGAGUCUGCUUAGGACUCUUUGUCCCUCUGCCCCUCCCCCCAGCUCUCUCUAAAGUAAGUAAAUCUUUAAAAAAAAAACAAAAAACAACAACAACAACAAAAAAAAAACCCAACAAACUAUUCUGAUUGUAUGGAUGUAUAGAAGACAUUUCUCUAUGAAAAGGCCACUUGGUUUCAAGGACUUUUAAAAAUUCUAUUUCAAAAUAAUGUUUUGUAAUUCUUUUCUAAGAUUUUAUUUAUUUAUUCAUGAGAAACAAAGAGAAGCAGAGACAUAGGCAGAGUCAGAGAAGCGGGCUCCCUCUGGGGAGCCCGAUAUGGGACUUGACCCCAGGACUCUGGGAUCACCACCUGAGCUGAAGGCAGAGGCUCAACCACUGAGCCACCCAGUUGCUCCUGUUUUAUAGAUUCUUAUUUUAAAAGCAGAGUCUAUUCUUUUUAAUUUAACCAUUUUCUUUAUAAAAUUUGAAAAACAUUUACAUUUCAUGGUCAGUUUUUAUUCCCUAUCACUUUAGUCAUCAGAGCUUCAGGAAUAGAUUCCAUUUGCUUAAUCUUACAUCUUCAAAAUAGUCAUUCUACCAUAAACUUAUUUAAAAUUAAACACUGUAUUUAUUAAAUACAAAUUGGAAACUAAAACCAUAAAUCUGUAUGCUUGUUAGAAAACCAAGCACCUA
rnacentral:lncRNA from 1 species